UUCGCGAAUAAUCUCUUCACCUCUCGACCAGAUGGCGACGGUGUCCUGUAUCAGCACACGUUGCCUGUUGCGACGGGGCGGCCUAGGAGGGGGGAGAUUCGCCGUUUGCAUCAGUGUUGGUAGAGUGAGUGAUAUUUCGCGAGUGUCGCUUGCCUCGCCGGGCCGCCGCCGCUGUUCGGAGGGGAUACCUCCCGCGAAAAAUCCUACCAUUUUCAGUGCUAUUUGGGCUUAAGGACGUCCUCCUCGAUCGCCAGGGGUCAGGGUAUUUAAUCUUGGUGUAUCGGGCCCGCAUAUUUCUAUCAAAUCGAGCCGGGAACCUCGCUGAAACUCCGCUUCAAUAUAGAGAAAUAAAAUAAUAAAAUAGCAGCAGAGCUUAACACCGAAACGGAUUCGGAGAGGCCCCAGCAGUCGUUGUGUGCCGUGUUUCUGCUGCCUUCGCGUGCUCGCUGCUGCUGCUGCCGCUCUCUGUUGCCGAGUGCCUUGGGUUCAGGCCGGAAAUACUGAGUACUGUUAAAAGGACGGGAAUACGUAUGUGAGAACAUGAUUUUAACACAUGAAAAGACGAAAAAAUUCACAAUUCUCAUUUACGAGAAGAGAAAAAAAAAAAAACGAAAGAAUGAAAAAAUAAAGUAAUAAAUACCCACGCACAGAUUGAAUUGAAAUUUUAUCAAAUAUAACUUCUUUUAACCGGAACCUCGAACACUCUUCGACGAUCGUUUCGACGCCGGGACGGGGGAUUACGAUUUAUCGUUAAACCCUGUUGCAAAAACCAAGAACGAAGAGGCCAGCACGACUACGGAUGAGGGCAGUGAUCUCUCAGGGAGCGGCGACCUGCGAACCGUCCAUAGAUAUACCUAUAGGAUAUACUCUCCUCUUCGCUACGCAGGCUGGCGAUUCUGGCUGGCUGGUUGCAGACUGGAGUCUGGGACAAGGAUUCUCUCUCACAAUAUCCACGUUCUAUACUCUUCGCGUGUGUAACCGAGGACAGAGGCACACGUUCGAAAAGCAAAUUUUUCAAACCAAGACCUGCAGUUCGGAUUUGUAUCUCAUGCUGCAGACGACGACCAGCUGCUUCGAAGUGCAAAAUUUGAAAACUGGUUAUCCUACCGGAGAGGAUGAUGCUGUUGCUGUCUUGGGCAGCGAGGCAGGCGUCUCAUCCAGCCGUUCAGCAGUUACUUGAUGACACUAACCCGUAGAUCCGAACUUGUGGGCUAUAUAAUUUGCACACCGCAAGCUCCUAUCUACCGGUACAUGUAGUCAGGCCGUCGAUUUGAUGACAUACAUCCUUCGGACGAAAACUACGACCAAACGAAUGAGAGUCUUACAACGAUAGAUUUCAAAUGCUUCUUGAGCUUAUAGGCGUUCUUAGAGGCGAUUCGUGAUCUCCAACGUGCCUAACCAACCGAUGCAUAUCUACAAUGAUGAGAUCUGCAGGCCUGAUGUAUCCAGCAAAUUUUACUGUUGUACAUGGUUUGCUUCCCGUCGAAUUUUACGCUAUAUUAUAAUACAAGGUGUAAAAUUUUGCAGAAGAAUGGAAAAAUUCAAAAUCACCUAUUGAAUAAGACUGAAUGAUUUUCAAGUGAUCACGUGUUGCAAAGAUCUUGCAAUCGGGGUUUAGUUACUGUCAUUUUAAAACAAACUGCAUACUCAUGAAAUGUACGAGUGACAAAUUUUGUUAUUAUAUGCCAUAAAUUAUAAGGGGAUAUUGUAAGGUGAGAUAUCGAAAUUAAUUAGAAAUUUUGCUUUAUAAAUUUUAUAAACUAAACGGGGCAAGUAAAUAUUCGGCACACAAUUUUACCGGAACUUCUUAAUUGAUUCUAUAGUAUCUUCAUCAGAGAUAGUAAGGACACGAUACCUGCUAUAUCAUUUUUGUUUUAUUCAAUUUUAUAUAUACGUCACUUUGAACUCUUGCUUUAUAAUAUGAUACGUGUACCCUUAGUUCGUAUAUAGCUGGACUUUCUAACCAAUCGAACACCUCCGUAUUAUACAUAUACUGUUUUGAGAAAAAUUGGAUUAUUGUAUAAUUUUUCUUACUCUGAAUUCGACCACCUUUCCAUACCUACGUAGAAAAAAAAAACUUGUUUGAUGAAAACGUUGCUUUUUUUCUUUGUCACUGGAAAGUACGCAAUAUAAAUUUGAGAAAAAAUGUUGAAAUUUUCGAAAAAACAAAACGGAAUACGAACGCGAAAAAGCGACGAGAAUAAAUGAGCAAAGAAUUUCGAAUAUCCAUAAAUUAUUGCGGCGAUGCCUGGGUGAGGUAGUAGGUUGUAUAGUAGGGAAUGAAAAUUCGAAGAUACGAAGUCCACUGUACAGCUUGCUAACUUUCCCGGUCGUCGGUGCCCCGACGAUGGACCAUCAUCAUCCUCAUCAUCAUGAUCAUCACCAUCAAUAGAUCCGUGUAAAAUAAUUAUCGAGAGAAAGAGGGAGACAGGGGGAAAGAAAUAUUGACCGCGAGAACAAACAACGAAUGAGAGAAGAAUUCUUGCAAGAAAUUAUAGAGAAGGAAAAUAACGAGGAGGAAGGAUGAAUGGAUGGAAAUAAGGAAAAACGGAAGGCAUGGCGGGCGGGCGUGUAUAGCCUGCCGCAUCGCCGAUUCCCUGAGACCCUAACUUGUGACGUCGCAUCCGAUAUCUCACAGGCUAGAUUCUCUGGUAUUGGCGAUGAGUGCUGCCUUUGCCAAUGAGUAGUAUGUCAGUUCCGGUGUGAUGCUCUGUGUUAAAAGUGAAUCGUAAACGAUCGUACCGCAAAGAGAGAGAGUUCGCAAUCACUUUACAUUCGAGUUUUUCUUAUUGUUUCUUUAUUUUUUUUUUUUUUACCUUCACUUAUUUACCGUUGCUCCUGUUGUAAAUGAAUAUAUGUAUGUACAUAUGUAUUUCAACUACGUAAUCAUAUUGCUUUUUUUUAUCCAAAAAUAACUAAAUAAUUUUCGUUUAUUUCAUUUUCAUCAUUGAAAUAAAUUUUUACCAUCAACAGUUGUACAAACUUUCACGUGUACGUAGGAUAUAUACUAUAUGCAUGUAAUGUAUAUACAGUUAUUUAUCGUUUGUCUAUAUAAACUAUAGAUAUGUUAAUAAAAAUAAUUGCGAUUA
rnacentral:lncRNA from 1 species